rnacentral:rRNA from 1 species
GAUGAACGCUAGCUACAGGCUUAACACAUGCAAGUCGAGGGGCAGCACAGUGUAGCAAUACACGGGUGGCGACCGGCGCACGGGUGCGUAACGCGUAUCCAACCUUCCCGAUACUCUUGGAUAGCCUUCCGAAAGGGAGAUUAAUACAAGAUGGUGUUUCACUUUCGCAUGUUAUUGAAACUAAAGAUUUAUCGGUAUCGGAUGGGGAUGCGUGACAUUAGAUAGUAGGCGGGGUAACGGCCCACCUAGUCUACGAUGUCUAGGGGUUCUGAGAGGAAGGUCCCCCACACUGGAACUGAGACACGGUCCUGACUCCUACGGGAGGCAGCAGUGAGGAAUAUUGGUCAAUGGUCGGAAGACUGAACCAGCCAAGUAGCGUGAAGGAUGAAGGUUCUAUGGAUUGUAAACUUCUUUUAUACGGGAAUAAAACCUCCCACGUGUGGGAGCUUGUAUGCACCGUAUGAAUAAGCAUCGGCUAACUCCGUGCCAGCCGCCGCAGUAACAC